rfam:Homo sapiens chromosome X, GRCh38 reference primary assembly.
CUACAGGUUGCUUUUGCAACCACUAAGCAAACAUUUUCAAGAGGCUU